rnacentral:rRNA from 2 species
AGACCCGAAACCCGGUGAUCUAGCCAUGGGCAGGUUGAAGGUUGGGUAACACUAACUGGAGGACCGAACCGACUAAUGUUGAAAAAUUAGCGGAUGACCUGUGGCUGGGGGUGAAAGGCCAAUCAAACCGGGAGAUAGCUGGUUCUCCCCGAAAGCUAUUUAGGUAGCGCCUCGUGAAUUCAUCUCCGGGGGUAGAGCACUGUUUCGGCUAGGGGGCCAUCCCGGCUUACCAACCCGAUGCAAACUGCGAAUACCGGAGAAUGUUAUCACGGGAGACACACGGCGGGUGCUAACGUCCGUCGUGAAGAGGGAAACAACCCAGACCGCCAGCUAAGGUCCCAAAGUCAUGGUUAAGUGGGAAACGAUGUGGGAAGGCCCAGACAGCCAGGAUGUUGGCUUAGAAGCAGCCAUCAUUUAAAGAAAGCGUAAUAGCUCACUGGUCGAGUCGGCCUGCGCGGAAGAUGUAACGGGGCUAAACCAUGCACCGAAGCUGCGGCAGCGACACUCAGGUGUUGUUGGGUAGGGGAGCGUUCUGUAAGUCUGCGAAGGUGGCCUGUGAGGGUUGCUGGAGGUAUCAGAAGUGCGAAUGCUGACAUAAGUAACGAUAAAGCGGGUGAAAAGCCCGCUCGCCGGAAGACCAAGGGUUCCUGUCCAACGUUAAUCGGGGCAGGGUGAGUCG